CACGGAGGAUGCAAGCGUUAUCCGGAAUGAUUGGGCGUAAAGCGUCCGCAGGUGGCGAUGUAAGUCUGCUGUUAAAGAGCAAAGCUUAACUUUGUAAAAGCAGUGGAAACUACAUAGCUAGAGUGCGUUCGGGGCAGAGGGAAUUCCUGGUGUAGCGGUGAAAUGUGUAGAGAUCGGGAGGAACACCGGUGGCGAAGGCGGGUCUCUGGGCAAUUCCUGACGCUGAGGCGCGAAAGCGUGGGGAGCAAACGGG
rnacentral:rRNA from 1 species